rnacentral:misc_RNA from 1 species
GAUGAAGAACGUAGCGAAAUGCGAUAAGUAGUGUGAAUUGCAGAAUUCAGUGAAUCAUCGAAUCUUUGAACGCACAUUGCGCCCUUUGGUAUUCCAAAGGGCAUGCCUGUUCGAGCGUCAUUUGUUCCCUCAAGCUUUGCUUGGUGUUGGGCGUCUUGUCUCUAGCUUUGCUGGAGACUCGCCUUAAAGUAAUUGGCAGCCGGCCUACUGGUUUCGGAGCGCAGCACAAGUCGCACUCUCUAUCAGCAAAGGUCUAGCAUCCAUUAAGCCUUUUUUUCAACUUUUGACCUCGGAUCAGGUAGGGAUACCCGCUGAACUUAAGCAUAUCAAUAAGCGGAGGA